rnacentral:rRNA from 1 species
UACGUAGGGCGCAAGCGUUGUCCGGAAUUAUUGGGCGUAAAGAGCUCGUAGGCGGCUUGUCACGUCGAUUGUGAAAGCCCGAGGCUUAACCUCGGGUCUGCAGUCGAUACGGGCUAGCUAGAGUGUGGUAGGGGAGAUCGGAAUUCCUGGUGUAGCGGUGAAAUGCGCAGAUAUCAGGAGGAACACCGGUGGCGAAGGCGGGUCUCUGGGCCGUAACUGACGCUGAGGAGCGAAAGCGUGGGGAGCGAACAGG